UGCCGCGUGAGUGAAGAAGGCCUUCGGGUUGUAAAGCUCUUUUUAUUGGGGAAGAUAAUGACGGUACCCGAUGAAUAAGCUCCGGCUAACUUCGUGC
rnacentral:rRNA from 1 species